rnacentral:rRNA from 1 species
AUUGAACGCUGGCGGCAGGCCUAACACAUGCAAGUCGAGCGAGCGGCGGACGGGUGAGUCAUGUCGGGGAACCUGCCUGAUGGCGGGGGAUAACUCCUGGAAACGGUAGCUAAUACCGCAUACCAUCAGAUGUGCCCAGAUGGGAUUAGCUAGUAGGUGGGGUAACGGCUCACCUAGGCGACGAUCCCUAGCUGGUCUGAGAGGAUGACCAGCCACACUGGAACUGAGACACGGUCCAGACUCCUACGGAAGGCAGCAGUGGGGAAUCUUGCACAAUAGGCGAAAGACUGAUGCAGCCAUGCCGCGUGUGUGAAGAAGGCCUUCGGGUUGUAAAACACUUUCGGUGGGGAAGCGUUACCCGCACAAGAAGCACCGGCUAACUACGUGCCAGCAGCCGCGGUAAUAC